CUUGGCUCAGGAUGAACGCUGGCGGCGUGCUUAACACAUGCAAGUCGAACGGGAUCCAUCAAGCUUGCUUGAUGGUGAGAGUGGCGAACGGGUGAGUAAUACGUGACUAACCUGCCUCAUACACCGGAAUAGCUCCUGGAAACGGGUGGUAAUGCCGGAUGCUCCAACAUUUCACAUGUUUUGUUGGGAAAGCGUUAGCGGUAUGAGAUGGGGUCGCGUCCUAUCAGCUUGUUGGUGAGGUAAUGGCUCACCAAGGCUUCGACGGGUAGCCGGCCUGAGAGGGCGACCGGCCACAUUGGGACUGAGAUACGGCCCAGACUCCUACGGGAGGCAGCAGUGGGGAAUAUUGCACAAUGGGCGAAAGCCUGAUGCAGCGACGCCGCGUGCGGGAUGAAGGCCUUCGGGUUGUAAACCGCUUUUAAUUGGGAGCAAGCGAGAGUGAGUGUACCUUUUGAAUAAGCACCGGCUAACUACGUGCCAGCAGCCGCGGUAAUACGUAGGGUGCAAGCGUUAUCCGGAAUUAUUGGGCGUAAAGAGCUCGUAGGCGGUUUGUCACGCCUGGUGUGAAAGUCCAUCGCUUAACGGUGGAUCUGCGCCGGGUACGGGCAGGCUAGAGUGCAGUAGGGGAGAUUGGAAUUCCCGGUGUAACGGUGGAAUGUGUAGAUAUCGGGAAGAACACCAAUGGCGAAGGCAGAUCUCUGGGCUGUUACUGACGCUGAGAGC
rnacentral:rRNA from 1 species